UUGGUGAAAGAACACUAUCCACCAAGUGAGGGUUCUUGUAUAAGUUGUAUCUCUCUCCCAAUUCUUUUUCUUCUUUGAUCACCAAAGUAUUCUCUGUAUGCAAUGAAGCAAUCUGCUGGUGAUCAUCUAAUUCAAUUCAAUGUCUCAGACUUGGAGAAAGCAACAAAAGGUUUCAAACCCUCUUACAAGAUUAGAGAGGGUGAGUUUGGAGCCUUCUACAAAGGCACCCUCAAGCAAAGUGGGAAAAAGACAUAUGUCCUUUUCAACAGAUUCAAGGACAUGUACUUAAAGCCAAGGGUGAUCACUCUUGGGUAAAAGAAUUAAACACUAUUGCAGCAAUUAAGCACCAAAACCUUGUAAACUUGAUAGGAUAUUGCCUUUCAGAGGGUGUCAGAUUUGUGGUAGGAGAAUGCACAUGCUAUAAAAGUCUAAGUCACUAUUUGUUCAAGGGGUUCCUGUCUUGGUGAGAAACACUCGUUGUUGUACAAGACACUGCCCUGGCUUUGGCGUACUUGCGUGAACAUCAGGUAUGUUAAUUUGCUAUCAGUAUGUGUGUUUCCCUAUUUGAUUGUGGUGUAUGAUAUGUGUUUUGUUCUACUUGAACAGAUAGUACUAAGUUUGAGUUCUUCCUCCAUUGUCAUUGAUGACGACAUGAAAGGGAAGCUUUUUUACCAUGCUUUUUUGAGAUUGGAUACUUCUCCUGUAAGUAUAUAAAUACCCUCAAGUCUAACUUUUGUUUGAUGUGUUACUUUUUUUUUCUUUAUGAAAUUGAUCUUAAAAACCUACUAUUAGUGGCAAAGCAAGAAAUUAAUUUUGAGGGGUGAGGGGGGAUUUAUCUUAAUUUAUUGCUUGCAUCUCGUGACCUUAGUGAUAUAAAUUUAAUUGUCAAGAGCCUUACUUGUUGACCUUGUCUCUCCUUCAUAAAGAUUUAGGAGAACUAGGGUUUGAAAUUUGAUUUUCCUCUCUCCCGUAGGUAUAUCUAUCGAAUUAAAAAAAAAAUGAUAGAACUAUGAUUAUUAUUAAUAAUCUAAUAACUAUGUUUAUCAAUAUUACCAUCCUUAAAUAAAAGUAUAAAACAUGCACUCAUGUAGAUAUAAAAGAGCAAUGCUAAGGAGGGGGCAAGAAGAAAUUUUUGUAGACAAGAACAUUGUGGUUUUCAAGCAUUAUCCUUCCUAUAAGGAGAACUAAUUUUGAAUUUGCUCUCCCACAUGUUAUCCUGAAUUUGUUGCACCCUAGCUAAUCAUUUUUAUCUUACAUUUCUUUCUCUUUCAAUUUGCGUCUCUUUUUCCUUAAACUAAAUGUUGUAUCCGUUAAACAGAUGUACCUUUGUAACUGUAACUAGUAAUAAUACACCUUUACCUUAUAUAUGUGUGAAACAGUUUGAAAAGACAGAGGAGCACAACAGAGUGCUGGACCAUUUGAUUGGAAUUUCAUGGAUUAUCAUACAACUCCAGAAUAUGACCCUCCUAAUAACCUCACAUCCACGGACAAUGUAUACAGUUUUGAAGUUAUUUUGCUAGAAAUAGUCACUGGUAAGCCGGCGUUUGAUGCCAACUGACCCAAGAAUGAGAGAAAUCUAGUGGAGUGGGUCAAAUCUGCUCUCUCUGGGGACCUAACCAAGCUGGAACAGAUUAUGGAUCCCAUUAACACAUUGUGGUAUAAAGAAUCUGCCAUGGGAGUUUUGGCAUUGUCAAGCAAGUGCAUUGAGGAAGACCCAAAUCAGCGUCCCAGCAUAAGGUUCUUGAGGAGCUUGCCCCAAUUGUGGAAGAAUUAACAUUCCACUCGUAUGAAAGAAUUAUUUGAAAGAAAGAGACAAGAAAGGAUACAAGCACAAAUGGAUGAUGUGAAAUGUACUUUUUUUAUUGAAGGCAAUUGAAGGGGUUCUUUUAUUGAUUGGAUACGCAGUGUCAAACUUAUUCAAAAAUGCGUAAUUGCUGUAUGAAGUAACUAUUUGUACGUAAUUGCUUGUAACUCAUACUAAGAGUUAAUUUGUGUGGUUCUAUGCCUGAAAGGAUAUUAUUAUAUAUGUGAAACACUAAAGUAAAUUUUAUACAGUGGAUA